ensembl:lncRNA MIR22HG MIR22 host gene
GAAGAGACAGCGCCGCCGGCCGUGGGGAGCGGACGCAGUGAUUUGCUCCCCCUCGUGCAGCAACCCCCACACCCAGCACCAGGCCCCCAGAACUCUCCUUCCAGCUGAACUCCCUGGGAACAAGUCAGUUGGGCUGAUCACUGAACUCACAUUUCUGGACCUGAGGAGCCUGUUCCUCUCACGCCCUCACCUGGCUGAGCCGCAGUAGUUCUUCAGUGGCAAGCUUUAUGUCCUGACCCAGCUAAAGCUGCCAGUUGAAGAACUGUUGCCCUCUGCCCCUGGCUUCGAGGAGGAGGAGGAGCUGCUUUCCCCAUCAUCUGGAAGGUGACAGAAAUGGGCUGGGAAGGUCCGAACAGCAGGGUGGAUGAUACGUUUUGGGCAAGUUGGAGAGCCUUUGCCCAGAUUGGCCCAGCAAGGAGCGGUUUUAGAUUAGAGACACUGGCUGGAUUGAGGAGUAGAAGGCUCAAACAACCCAAGGUUAGUUGGUCUUUGUGUGACAGUGGGAAGAAGUGGAGAGAACACUCUGUCUCCCCGACUUCCUUCUUGACCCUCCUUCCGUAUCUUUCAUUCUUCCCCACUGGCCUUUCCAGAUGAGGUCCAAAAGUAAGCUCACUCUUCAGGGAAAAGUGAUACUAAACCCAGGCGUGAGGAGUCAUCCUUCUGCUCUUACUUUUCCCUGCAUUUCCUUAGGCUGGCCCAGACUCUAGAUUCCUGGGCACUUACCUGUAUCUGAGACCCUUAGACCUCCUGUCUCAGUUUCUCCACCUGUGAGAUGGGCAGUCACACAGAUGAGUGUGCAUGAGGGAAUCAGAAGCCCAUCUGGGUUGACUCAGAACCCGGGCUCUCCCCCUGCUGUGGGUGGAAACAAAACACCUUUUCACAGAAGCUGUUGUCCCUCCCCCAUCCCUGAUACCAUCACCCAGAAGCUGGGUGGGGAAUGGGAAGCUGGAGGAGGGGGUUAGAGUUAGACCAAUGCGAGGAGCUAGUAAGAGCUCGCCUCUCCGUGACUUCCCCCCAUGCAAGGGUGGCCCAAGGCUUCCCCUGAUAUCCAAAGCAGGACAGCAGCCCCUUGGUGGGAUUCUAACUGCUGCUACUCUGUUUCUUUCCUCACUUUGCUUUCCAAGGUGGUAUGUGAUCCCCAGCUCAGGCCUGUGCAGACAGGAAAUUCUCCCCUGCAGCAAGUAGGGGAGGUGGGUUGUGGGAUGUGACCUCCUUCCAGAUAUCAGGCAGUGAGUGUAAACCUGCCACCUCCAGCCCUGAUCCAUUCUCACCUAGCGGCUACAGGAAGCUGUGUCUGUUCGAUUUGGUGGGAGGAGAUGUGCAGGGAGCUGUAUCUUGUCCUCCGCUUGUGAAAAACUCAAGGAUGUGGAGAAGAGUAGACCGUGGAACCCUGCUCUUCUGCAGCCAAGCUGAGGGGCAGGAUGCGUGUGGGACAGUGGUAGAGAAGCAGGGGAUAGACUCAUAGGCUGCAACAAAGGUGACUCUGUCCCUGGACACUGCCUCCGUACUUUCUCCUUGCUUCACUGGCCACAGCAUCUCCCUCCAGCCCUCGCUAUGUGCCUCUGCCAUCUUCACCCAUCAUGGAGCAGAGGCUUUCUGCCUCCGAGAUGUGGCACCAUAGUGCGGUGCCCUGUGGCUUCACCGCCCUACUUCCACCUCCGCCCAGCCUGUAAUGUUUAUAUAAGCAGCCUCAAGGACCAAGAACCAUCUGCGAAAGGACACACACAGGAAAUUCAUAAAAGAAAUCUGAAUGGAUAAAACCAUGAAAAAAAGUAUGCUUCAUUAGUAAUUAAAGAAAGGCAAAUAGAGCUGGAAGCAUUUUUCCCUUAGCAAACCAUAACAGAAAAAAAUAAGACCCAAUAUUGGCAAAGAGACUACUGAAAAAACAUUCCCAUACAUUGCGUGUGGGAGUAUACAUCGGUGCAGGCUUCCUGGAUGACAGUUGGGUGAUAUGUGUCAUGUGGCCUAAAAGCCUCCAUGUCAUUUGACCUACGAAUUCUAUCUUUGGGAAUUUAUCCUAAGAAAAUACUUAAGGAUUUAGUUAGUGAUAAGAUGUUCAUCCCAGCAUUGCAAUGGAGAAAAAUGGGAAGCAAUGGUUUGGUUGGGAAUUUAUUCCUUUUCUGCUGUAACGAAAGUUUGCAAUAGGGGAUUGCUUAAGUAAAUUAUUGUAUCUCCAUCCAGAUGGUGGAGUACCGCGCAGACAUUAAAAGUCAUGUAAAAGAACAUCUGACUGAAAGAAAAAUGCUCCUUGAAUAUUAAAAGGUUGUAAAAAUAGUGCAUGUUAUGUGAUUUCAAUUUUGUUUUUUAAAAUAUGGGUGUAUGCUUGUAUACGUAGAGCAGAUAAAAAAGACGGAAGGCAUACUAAAAAAUGUUGAGUGGUUAUCUUUGUAUGGUGGAACAAAGUCACUGUAAUUUUCAUCUUUGGUUUUUCUGUAAUUUCCAAAUUUUCCACAUUUUGUAUUUCAUAUAAUA